GAUGAACGCUGGCGGCGUGCUUAACACAUGCAAGUCGAGCGAGAAGUUUUGAAAAGAUUCUUCGGAUGAAAUUUAAAAUGGAAAGCGGCGGACGGGUGAGUAACGCGUAGGCAACCUGCCCCAUACAAAGGGAUAGCAUUUGGAAACGAAUAUUAAUACCUUAUGAAACUUAACUAGUGCAUGCUAGGUAGGUCAAAGAUUUAUCGGUAUGGGAUGGGCCUGCGUCUGAUUAGCUAGUUGGUGAGGUAACGGCUCACCAAGGCGACGAUCAGUAGCCGACCUGGGAGGGUGAACGGCCACAUUGGAACUGAGACACGGUCCAAACUCCUACGGGAGGCAGCAGUGGGGAAUAUUGCACAAUGGGGGAAACCCUGAUGCAGCAACGCCGCGUGAACGAGGAAGGCCUUUGGGGCGUAAAGUUCUGUUCUAGGUGAUGAAAACUGACAGUAACCUAGGAGAAAGCCCCGGCUAACUCCGUG
rnacentral:rRNA from 1 species